CCCUUAGAUGUUCUGGGCCGCACGCGUGCCACACUGAGUGGAUCAGCGGGUCAGGUUGCGCGAAAGCGUUUCCUAAUCUUUAAAUCCGCUCGUGAUGGGGAUUGACGGUUGCAAUUUUCUGUCAUGAACGAGGAAUACCUUGUAAGCGCGGGUCAUCAUCCCGCGCUGAAUACGUCCCUGCCCUUUGUACACACCGCCCGUCGCUCCUACCGAUUGAGUGGUCCGGUGAGGCUUUGGGAUCUGAGCGGAAAGAGCGUUUCGCUGUUUCUGCUCGGAAAACUCAGUCGAACCUUAUCAUUUAGAGGAAGGAGAAGUCGCAACA
rnacentral:rRNA from 1 species